UACGUAGGGUGCAAGCGUUAAUCGGAAUUACUGGGCGUAAAGCGUGCGCAGGCGGCUGUGCAAGACAGAUGUGAAAUCCCCGGGCUUAACCUGGGAACUGCAUUUGUGACUGCAUGGCUAGAGUACGGUAGAGGGGGAUGGAAUUCCGCGUGUAGCAGUGAAAUGCGUAGAUAUGCGGAGGAACACCGAUGGCGAAGGCAAUCCCCUGGACCUGUACUGACGCUCAUGCACGAAAGCGUGGGGAGCAAACAGG
rnacentral:rRNA from 1 species